AACGUAGGGGACAAGCGUUAUCCGGAUUUACUGGGCGUAAAGCGCAUGUAGGUGGCUUGAAAAGUUGGACGUGAAAGCUCCCGGCUUAACUGGGAGAGGUCGUUCAAAACUGGCAAGCUUGAGGUUGGAAGAGGAGAGCGGAAUUCCCGGUGUAGUGGUGGAAUGCGUAGAUAUCGGGAGGAACACCAGUGGCGAAAGCGGCUCUCUGGUUCAAUACUGACACUGAGAUGCGAAAGCGUGGGGAGCGAACGGG
rnacentral:rRNA from 1 species